UACGAAGGGGACUAGCGUUGUUCGGAAUCACUGGGCGUAAAGCGCCCGUAGGCGGAUUUGUAAGUCAGGGGUGAAAUCCCGGGGCUCAACCUCGGAACUGCCUUUGAUACUGCGAAUCUUGAGUCCGAUAGAGGUGGGUGGAAUUCCUAGUGUAGAGGUGAAAUUCGUAGAUAUUAGGAAGAACACCGGUGGCGAAGGCGGCCCACUGGAUCGGUACUGACGCUGAGGUGCGAAAGCGUGGGGAGCAAACAGG
rnacentral:rRNA from 1 species